UUAUAUUGUUUUUGAUGCUGCUUUAUGUCAGGCUACAGAACUUUUCCCAUUCAAUCAACUAGGAUGAACUUCCGAAAACUAAACGUAUCAAAAGGAAUCCUUUAUUGAGAUGAGACAAUUCUUGUAGGGAUUAAAAGCAGUGUCUAAGGUCUCUCAGGCAUGCAGAGAUAGAUAAGGGAGUUUAAAACCCAUCCCCUUAUCUUGAUGUGUAUUUAGUAAAACAAAGAGCCAACAUAUUAAUUCCCAUACCCCC